rnacentral:lncRNA from 1 species
UAAAUAAAAUCCACGUCAACAUAUUAUAUAAGAUGGUAAACGUCUAAAUAGUAUGGUAUAUGUUAAAACAUGUUAAGAUAUUUUUGGAUGUACUCUCGUCAAAGGAUAACACAUACACUUUUCACUUAAUUACCACAACCGCUAAAUAAUAUAUCCAAAUCCCUACUUAAGUAAAUUUAAACCCUAGCCAAGAAACUAUAAACCCAAUAAAAUCAAUAAAAAAAAUUUAUAUUAAAUUCAUGAAUGCACAUUUAUUUGAUUUGAAAAGUUCCAUAUGGUAUAUUCCAUACGGUCUAAUAACUAUGAUAAACCAAUCUUACCGGAGAAACCUACAUAUUAAAGCUGCUCACACCUGCAAUUUACUAUACUCAAACCCCUAAAAAUUAAUCGAUUUAUAACAAUGAUACCACAAAAAAUAUAAACCCUCUUAUAUCUUCGUAGCAAAUCAUAUGUUGUUACUCGUAAACAAUAAAUCCAAAUAAAAUGGAACAAAAUAAAUAACAUAAUACAUAUUGUUGAAAUUAUUAAAUGUUUAUGAUUGCAUGGAAGAAGAUGAUGCUGACCUAAGCCAUACUCUCUCACCUUCUAAAUACUAAACCCUAAACUCUAAUCAGUAAACCCUAAACCCAAAUAUAAACCAUAAACCCAAAUAGAAUUGAACAAAAUAAAUAACAUAGUACAUACUGAUGAAAUUAUGAAAUUUCUAACCAUACCCUCUCACCUUCUAAAUAUUAAACCCUAAAUUUGAAUCACUAAACCCUAACCCAAAUAGAAACUCUAAA